CCUACGGGUGGCAGCAGUGAGGAAUAUUGGUCAAUGGACGCAAGUCUGAACCAGCCAUGCCGCGUGCAGGAAGACGGCUCUAUGAGUUGUAAACUGCUUUUGUACGAGGGUAAACGCAGAUACGCGUAUUCGUCUGAAAGUACUGUACGAAUAAGGAUCGGCUAACUCCGUGCCAGCAGCCGCGGUAAUACGGAGGAUUCAAGCGUUAUCCGGAUUUAUUGGGUUUAAAGGGUGCGUAGGCGGUCGGAUAAGUUAGAGGUGAAAUCCCGAGGCUCAACUUCGGAAUUGCCUCUGAUACUGUUCGUCUAGAGAGUAGUUGCGGUAGGCGGAAUGUAUGGUGUAGCGGUGAAAUGCUUAGAGAUCAUACAGAACACCGAUUGCGAAGGCAGCUUACCAAGCUACUUCUGACGUUGAGGCACGAAAGCGUGGGGAGCAAACAGGAUUAGAUACCCUUGUAGUC
rnacentral:rRNA from 1 species